rnacentral:antisense_RNA from 1 species
CUUCACCGACCCCAGCCACAGCGGUUCCGCGCGCCCCUGCCCGUAGGUGGCCAGCAGCGCCCCGGCCUC